rnacentral:rRNA from 1 species
ACGAACGCUGGCGGCGUGCUUCACACAUGCCAGUCGAACGGAAAGGCCCUGCUUUUGUGGGGUGCUCGAGUGGCGAACGGGUGAGUAACACGUGAGUAACCUGCCCUUGACUUUGGGAUAACUUCAGGAAACUGGGGCUAAUACCGGAUAGGAGCUCCUGCUGCAUGGUGGGGGUUGGAAAGUUUCGGCGGUUGGGGAUGGACUCGCGGCUUAUCAGCUUGUUGGUGGGGUAGUGGCUUACCAAGGCUUUGACGGGUAGCCGGCCUGAGAGGGUGACCGGCCACAUUGGGACUGAGAUACGGCCCAGACUCCUACGGGAGGCAGCAGUGGGGAAUAUUGCACAAUGGGCGGAAGCCUGAUGCAGCAACGCCGCGUGCGGGAUGACGGCCUUCGGGUUGUAAACCGCUUUCGCCUGUGACGAAGCGUGAGUGACGGUAAUGGGUAAAGAAGCACCGGCUAACAACGUG